CAAAGGUCAGUGCAUACGAGUGUUGGUGAGGAGCUUUUACUACUAAUCUUGUUUGUUCAUUUUGUAGGUACAAGGUGAUAUAAGGGGAACAUGUCUUCGAUAGCCGCAAAUUAUUGUGACUACGACAUGGGAGACUAUGAUUGUAGUGAGGGAUUUUUUGGCUACGAUGACGAUGGAGGUUAUGGGGGCUAUGAAAAUAGCCAUGAUCAAGACAUGGGCAGAAUAGGGGGUUACGGAUUUGAGGGAGAAAAUGAGAUGAAUGAAGUGCCUAGUGCUUAUGGUGAAUAUGGAGAUGAUGAAGAGCUUUGUGAUGGUUCUUAGGAUGAAGUGAGGGCAUGUGAGGAGUCUUACACUUCCCACUCCGAACCUAGAAUUGGUGUAAGGUAUAACCCCUUCAUUCGCAAAGCUUAUUAGAGCUAUGGUAAGAGUGCACGUGUGGAGUAUGAAAAUUCAUAUUCCUCACCUUGUAGUACUUCUUAUCAAGGUCGAAGUGGCGUGAAUGGUUAUACUAGCUAUAGGGGAGGUUGUCCCAUGAGAAGAAGAGGGUAUGCAUCUCCAAAGCCGAAGAGUACUUAUAUGCGCAUGGGGUAUACUAUGUUGAUCCAAGAAGAAAUAUUCACGCCGGAAGGGUCACCAUUUGUAGGGUUUUGGGCUGCCUUAUUGUGCUAGAUGAUAGGUGCUAUAAAAACCACAUCAUUCCACUCAUGAUUGAUCAUUUGGGGCUGUUUCGAGAACCUUUACUUGUUCCAUAUUCCUUGGACGGGUUUAAGGUUACCGAGAGAGUAAAGGUUGUCUUCAACCAAUUUGAAUACUAUGAGGAGGUGUGGUGUGAUAUCUUCCCCUUGAAACAAGACCAUGUAAGCUUGGUUGCCGAUUGGUUUGCACAACAUAAAGUUCCAAGUGUGCAAAAUUGGCCUAAGGUUGUAAGAGAUCAAUGGGGAAAUCAUCUCAUUACGUCUAUUCUUCCCAAGUCUCCAAGAAAAGUGGUCACUUACUCCAAGCCGAAUGAUUAUGAGAGACGAAAGAUUGAGAGGAGUAAGGGUGUGCAAGGUGGCAAUCUGAAAGUGGAAAAGGAGAGGUUGUGAGGAGUGAAGUGAGGGGGUUGUCACCAAACCGAGCUAACUAUGUUUGUCCUAUUAUUUCUAAGGACAUUUGUGUAGGUACCAACAUGGGAAGGGAGGAGAACAAGUGCUAAAGGAGAAGAUUCCCUUUGACGACUUGACUAGGGAAAGCUUAGUUGCUGCCGAAGCUUGUGGGGAACCUUCACACCAAGGUAAAGAAGAAUAUACUCAAGAACUUCAAGGUAUGGAUUCGGGGUCGAAUCCUUUUCAAGAAGGGGAGGAUGAUACAACUCAAAUGGCCAACAUAGCUUUUGAUGCCAUCAUGGGAGGCCAACACUUAAAAACUCAAGCUUUGGUCACCUCGAGAACACAAGAGCAUGCAUGGAGGACCCAUUUCAUACACUUAAGAGAGCAAUUCCGUGUGUGGAAGGUUGCUUGGAGGCUUGCCUUGAUGACUACCCGAGAGCUCCAAAGGAUUGCACAUAUUGAAGUGUGAAGAGGAAUCCAAACACUCCAAGGCCGCCCCUCAUUAAGGGUGUUUUGGCCAUUUCAUUAUGUGAAGUCCAAGCACUCCAAGGCCGCUCCUCAUUAAGGGUAUUUUGGCCAUUUGACUAUGUAAUAAGUUAUACUAUAAGUAGGCUCUUAUUGGGCUUAUUUUCCUUAGUUUUUGAUGAUGAUAUUUUGAGAGAAACAUUCUUGAACUCCAUUGGGAGGAACUUUUAGUGUAGGGCUUCGAAAAGCCAAGUAGUGUAGGGUGCGGAAAAGCCAAUAUUGAUCUUUGCUUAGAAACGGUGGUUGUAAGGUGGAGUUGACCCUUAGCGGUCACCGUAAGAGCUUGGUGUUGUUAUUACGGGUCUUAUUGUUUGAUACACGAUUUGGUUCCUAUUUCUUGUAAUCUCGUAUGUCAAGCUAUCUAUCUUACUUUAUUGCAUUGUUUUGUUGGAUA